rnacentral:rRNA from 1 species
CGGUAAUACGUAGGGUGCGAGCGUUAAUCGGAAUUACUGGGCGUAAAGCGAGCGCAGACGGUUACUUAAGCAGGAUGUGAAAUCCCCGGGCUCAACCUGGGAACUGCGUUCUGAACUGGGUGACUAGAGUGUGUCAGAGGGAGGUAGAAUUCCACGUGUAGCAGUGAAAUGCGUAGAGAUGUGGAGGAAUACCGAUGGCGAAGGCAGCCUCCUGGGAUAACACUGACGUUCAUGCUCGAAAGCGUGGGUAGCAAACAGGAUUAGAUACCCUGGUAGUCCACGCCCUAAACGAUGUCAAUUAGCUGUUGGGCAACUUGAUUGCUUAGUAGCGUAGCUAACGCGUGAAAUUGACCGCCUGGGGAGUACGGUCGCAAGAUUAAAACUCAAAGGAAUUGACGGGGACCCGCACAAGCGGUGGAUGAUGUGGAUUAAUUCGAUGCAACGCGAAGAACCUUACCUGGUCUUGACAU